GGCGCUCGUAUAUACGAGUCCCAUCCGGUAAAGCGAAUGAUUAGAGGCCUUGGGGUCGAAACGAUCUCAACCUAUUCUCAAACUUUAAAUGGGUGGGAACCGCGGCUUGCUUGAAUUAGUGAAGCCGCGGUCUCGGAUCGGAGUGCCCAGUGGGCCACUUUUGGUAAGCAGAACUGGCGCUGUGGGAUGAACCAAACGCCGGGUUAAGGCGCCCGAAUAAACGCUCAUUCGAAACCAUGAAAGGUGUUGGUUGCUUAAGACAGCAGGACGGUGGCCAUGGAAGUCGGAAUCCGCUAAGGAGUGUGUAACAACUCACCUGCCGAAGCAACUAGCCCUGAAAAUGGAUGGCGCUGAAGCGUUUUGCCUAUACCCGGCCGCCGGCGGCAAAGGGCGCGCGCCUUCGGGCGCGCGUCGCCAAGCCCCGGUGAGUAGGAGGGUCGCGACGGUGUGCGCAGAAGGGUCUGGGCGUGAGCCUGCCUGGAGCCGCCGUCGGUGCAGAUCUUGGUGGUAGUAGCA
rnacentral:rRNA from 1 species